GAACCUGACGCAUUGACGCCGCGUGCGGGAUGAAGGCCUUCGGGUUGUAAACCGCUUUCAGUAGGGAAGAAGCGAAAGUGACGGUACCUACAAAAGAAGCACCGGCUAACUAUGUGCCAGCAGCCGCGGUAAUACAUAGGGUGCAAGCGUUGUCCGGAAUUAUUGGGCGUAAAGAGCUCGUAGGUCGUUUGUUACGUCGGAUGUGAAAAUCUGAGGCUCAACCUCAGACCUGCAUUCGAUACGGGCAAACUAGAGUUUGGUAGGGGAGACUGGAAUUCCUGGUGUAGCGGUGGAAUGCGCAGAUAUCAGGAGGAACACCAACGGCGAAGGCAGGUCUCUGGGCCAAUACUGACACUGAGGAGCGAAAGCGCGGGGAGCGAACAGGAUUCAGAA
rnacentral:rRNA from 1 species